UAUCGAGUACGAACCUAGACUAGGGGAAAGCCAAGCAAAUCGACUAAAUCGGCUAGUCGCCACAUUUUGUAAUCCGAGUGCCACCUAACUAGCUCAAGGAUCACCGAAAGUCAGAGAUAUCGAUCACACUAUCAACCGAAGCAUUCGGUAUAGUUGGAUUUAUAUUUUUGAAUAUGGCAUGUAUAGGACUUAGACGACAUUAUUUUGUGUCAUUGAGGUUUGACCAUAUGUAUUGGCUUGGGUUGGGAACCCUUCAAUUUGUAUUAAGCCUUGAAUGAUGGCUAACAUUCAUUUUGAAUUUAUAAAAGAUGCAUUAUCAUGGUUGAA